AGUGCCGGCUCUGUGAGGAGGCUGAGCGGGAAGCGUCCCCCUGAGGCUGUUGGGGGGGCUCCGGAGGGCCCUGGAGACAAAGUGCUCAUCUGAGCCCCCAUGGAUGGAGCAGAGCCGCCGCCAGGACUCUCCCUCCUGCCAAAGCUGGCACCCAGGCUGCCCUGGAGGGAGGUGGAAGAGGCCUUGGGCCUGGCCUCGUUUAGCCUCCUCUGAGGCCAGAGAGGGUCAUAGGGAGGGAGCGGCAGCCUGGAGAAUGGCAGAAGCAGGAUCUGAACCCACAGCUCUGGCUGCAGAGCAUAUGAAUAAGGAUUCAUAUUUCUCUUGCUCGCGCAAAGGCCAGGAGUAGGAAACUCCCUGGGGCCUUCCCUGCCCCCUCCAGCCCUUUGGGGUUCCAGCAGGAGCCCCCUAGGGUGACCCCCUCCCUUCUCUGGGCUCCAAGGCCACCCUGCAAUCUGGGAGAUGGGCCUCGGAGAAGCAAGUACAAACGAUACAGAGGGACUGUGAGGGUGCUGGAGAGGCCAGGGAAGGCCUCAUGGGGUGGGGGGGAGGGGGCGGCUUCUUUGAGCCGAGCUUUAAAGGCAACUCGGGAUUCUGGGAAGCUCAGGUGAGCAGAGAGAUUGUGCCAGGAGUGGGGCACAGCCUGUGCAAAGGCACAGCAGUAAGGAAAGGCACAAGUCCUAAGCAGAGCCCUUUGCAAAUCCUGUAGCAUGACAAAUGCGGUAGAUUAGGCCAAGCAUCAUGUCGCCCUACUCCCGUCUGCCCCAUCAUUCGCUCAGAUGUGCAUACUGAGGCCGGGGACCUCUCUGUGGGAACACAUGCCACCUGCCAGAGUGACUUACUAGAAAGGCUGAGGGACUCUGCCAGUGCUCCCCCCCCACCUUCCCACCCCUCUGCCCAGUGGCCCAAUGGAAGUGCUUCUUCCCUCCCCUGAGUGGGGUAGGGGUGGGGCAUGGCAUGACAUGUGAUCUUGGGGUGGGGCAUAGUAUGGCAUGUGAUCUUGGGGUGGGGCAUAGUAUGGCAUGUGAUCUUGGGGUGGGGCAUAGUAUGGCAUGUGAUCUCUGGAGGUGGGGCAUAGUAUGGCAUGUGAUCUCUGGGGGUGGGGCAUGGUAUGGCAUGUGAUCUCUGGAGGUGGGGCAUGGCACACAAUCUCUAAAAUGUUCACCAUCACUACCCUGGCAGAGGUCUACAAUGGCCCCACAAGGACUCGGCCACACUUCCUGAAGCCAAUAAUGGACCACAGGCCGGACCUCUUGAGCCCUAUCCCUGGCUCUGCAGCUAAGGACAAGGCAUUCUCUUCUAUGAGCCUCGAUGUCUGCCUCUGUGAAAUGGAGCUCCUCCAACACGCCUCCUCCCUCCCAAGGCAGUGAGGAGGGAAAGAGCUUGCGGGAAGACCAGUGGUGUAGACGGCCAACUCACUCCCCUUCCAUCUGCUUUCUAAGUGGCUUUCAAAGGGAAAAUCACCCCAGAGUGGAUGCGGGGGGCAGGCUGAGCUCCUGUGGCCCCAUGCCCACCAAGAGGGCCCCCAAAGAGCCUGGCUUGGGCCAUCCCAACCCUGAGAUUACAGGAAUCCUGCUUGAGCCAUGUUCUGGUGCCCCCAGGAGAAGAAAAUAACAGGGAGCUGCUGUGUGUUCACUUCUCUCCACUCACACCCCAAACUGGAGGGACUCGGGGGGGGGGGCCUCCCUGGCAUUCCUGGGCCAGCCUUCCAUGGUGGAGAAUCUGAUUGGGCCAUGGUCCUGGUGGCACCCUGUGCCCUCCUGACACGGCUACCCCAUCUCCUCAGGGCCGGGAGCCUCCCUCUUCUGCCAUUGAUGCCAAGACACUCGGCUUCCUGGUCACCCUCAAUUCUCCCCCUCCCCACAGUUACUCUGGGAUGUCUGCGCGUGGGUGCCCAACCCUCAAAGCCCCUCCUGCCCUCUGCCUUAAUCCCGGUCCCGCCACCCCCAAAGCCAUGGCCGCUUGUUCCUGGCACUACCCUUGAGAAGGUCAUUGUCCUUUGCCUUGGGAGAGAGCCGUGUGGCAUGUGUGUGUGCAUGUGUGUGCGCGUGUGUGUGAGCCACCACAGGAGCCAAGGCUCUCCCCAGCCUAGGCUCAGCAGGCCCUGGAGCUGCUGCAAUUUGCUCUGCCCACCGAGCAUGGCACCUUCCUUGAUGGAGCACCCCAUGCUGGACGGCCUUGUGCCGGGGGCUCCUGGGUCUCCCAAUCCAUACCAGAGUUCUUCAGAGACCCCAGGAUUGUCCUCGUACCUCCUCUUCUGACGUCCUCGGGAGCGCUUGCCUGGGGGCUUCUCUGUGAGAUGGUCUUUCGGGCAAGGUUGGCACUCAUGCCACAGGGGCCACGGUGCCCUCCGCUUGGAUGCUUGGCAGCUUAGCUGAUGUACGUUCCUGAGGGCAGGGACUGAGGUUUGUUUUGUGUCUCCCCAUCUGGCCCAUAGGAAGCCCCCCAUCAAUGCACACUGGCAGAUCGGCUAUCUCUGCCCCUGUGACUGCCUACACCAGCUGGUGGCCCGGUUCUUCCUCCUCCUGCCAUUGCCAGGGCCUAACGGGGCUGUGCAUGUGAAGUCAGGCCUGGCACUAUGCCCAGCUCUGCCACUAAGUCCCGUGUCUGACCUCGAGGCUGUUGGUCUCCCCUCAUGCCUGCAGGGUCUGCCCAUGGGUGACACAAAGGGCUCCAGAAAUGCCAUCCCCCUCCCCACCAGGUUAGCCCAGACACGGAGCCCUUGUUUCUGGUGUCCGAAGCCGAGGGAACAAGCAGGCAGACGAGUCUGGUAGAGAGCCUGGCAGAGAGGGGAGACGGGCACAGGAGCCAAAAGGAGUCCAGGUUGGGAGGGUCAGUCUGGGCCAAGCCAUGGCCCGGAAGGGUGCCAGGUGCCAGGACAGUCACCGUCUGGGCUGGGGAUGUUACUUGCUUCAGUUUCUACCCCUCCUAGGCUUAGAUGGGAAGAUUUCCAACAGGAGGAGCGUUUAGAUGCUGCCACAUCCACCUCCCAGCACCCUCAAUUUAGAGAUAAAGACCUGAGGCCCCUGAGGGGAAGUGGCAGAGCCAGGGCCACAAAAGGCUUCCGAUGCUGCACCCCUGUCUGGGCACACAAGGAGGGCCUUUGGUCUCCACACUCUGCUAGGAAUUUCUCCGUGGAAGCAGAAAUGCCCUCCUUGCUUGUUUUCUGAAAACUUAAGAAACUUUUGGUUUUAAAAAAAAAAUCUGAAUUUGUGAUGUGACGUGUGCUUGAUUGGUUCUGGGUUUGCAAUAAAGGACGUGUUGAUUCCAC